UUUUUUAUAGUGUAACCCCAACACAUUACAUUUUCAAUGUAAAACUGAAGAAUUCUUCUUCUAUCUAUA
rnacentral:tRNA from 1 species